AAUGUGCCACCCCUAAGCCUCGGGUCCCCCAAGGCUGCUUCUUCCUGGGAGCUGGCCCCUCACCUGCCCUCUCCCUAGAACCCCAGUGAAACACUUGCCUCGUGUGAAAUUUUCGUUCCCCAAACUCAGAACCCUACGUCCCCAUUCUGCAGCAUCCCUCAGCACUGAAGUCCCUGUGCCACUGGCUGCCCGUCUGCCACCAGCCCAGGCCUCCUCACCUUCCUGGGGUUGGCCCUGGGCCCUCCUCUAGCCCUAGCCCCUGGGCCCCGGCUUGGCUGGUCCCUGGUGAUAGAGCUUACUCCCGGUAGGCACUGCCUCCACCCCCUGGAAGUCACCCUCUGUCCCCUGCCAGCCCAGUCGCCUCAUCACCUGGCAGGACUUGGUCCCACCUGAGUGAGACAGGAGUGAUGGGCAGCUGGUAGCCCCUGAGUCCGAAGGUCGCCAUCUACACCAGGAACUAGGCUCCAUCCUUGCUCCUAAAGGUGUUGCUGGCCAGGCCAAGGACCAGCCACUCCCCCUGUAACUAUAGAGCUUGUGACAGGCAGGGGCAGGCGCACAGUUCCAACCUCCCUGAGCAGCCCCGGCAAGACCCCUGCCCAGGCAGCAGACUUUGGCAUGAGGCUGCACCAGUGGUGCUGGACCUGGGCUGCAGCUUCCCCAUGUGGACAGAGGAGUUGUCCCCUGCUGGUGGGCUCCCAGGAUGGGGGAGUGCUCAGGGUGGCUGGAGCUGGCUAGGUGCCAGCUCUCCUCUGCCGCUGUCCUGGUGCCCCCCAAGGCUGGGACGUAGGCAGAUCUUGUAGAAGGGCAAGUUUGGGGCUUGGGGAUGCGGGUGCCCCCAAAGCUGUUUGGGGCCUUGGCCCUGAGUCUGCCCAGUCCCCAGCAGAGGGAGACCCAUCCACAAGGGCUCCAUUCUUGGCUGAGGAGGUGGGCCCUGGGCAGCACUGCAGGCCAGUGGUGGGUGCAGUGUGGGGUGAGGACUAGCCUCAGGCUCCUGGUAACAGUUCACCUGCCAGCCCUGCCCAGGACCAGCCCCGCCCAGGACAAGUGACUCAGAUACAAGAGGAAUAAGAUUUUCCCCUUAGGUCUUCUUGGCAGGACCCCGCAAGGGGCAUGGCAGGAAGGGUAGCGGAUCCUCUGACUUGGCCAGCAACGGUCAGGGAGUGGGUCUCCCAUCUGCCUUCCCUUGGUCCCUGGAUCUCCUCCUGGGGAGGGUGGUGCCUGCAGAGACCACCAGCUCCCAGCAAGGUCCCAGGCCGCGCCUUUCCCCACAGACCCCAGCCCUGCCUGCACUUCUGUCCCCCAAGACCAUCUGAGCCCCACUCUGGGCACCAGGCCAGGGCAGAGCUCCCAGCCCAAGUCUGGCAGAGCAGCAGCCAGCAUCUGUGAGGAUCCACUGUGUGCCCAGCACUGCGAUCCUGUCUGGCACAGCCUCUGCAUUCACCACCCCCGCCUGGGAGCAGGCCAAGCCCGUCCCUGGUCCCUGCUCCCUGGGACAGGCGAGCAGGGACAGCAUGUGCUGUGCUCUGGCCAGCCCAGCACCAUCCCACUCUGCCUACAGGUUCAAGGCCACUGUCCCUGCCCCAAACCUCCUCUUCCUUAGAUGCACUUGCUCUGCUCCCAGCCCCCCUGCCCGUGGUGGCUGCCCGAGGACAUGAGAUUUCUGCCCCCAGCCUACCCUCUGGUCCCUCUCACCAGCUACUGAAAGGGGCAGCUGCCAGGAUUCCCACCAGCUGAGUCCUGAAAGGGGACCCUGGGGUUGGGCAGACCUGGGAGGAGCCUCAGAGUGACCUUGGUCUUGGUCUCCUGCAGCCCAGUUCUCUGGGUCUGGGGACAAGUGAGUUUGGUGGCCCAGACCCUGAGCUGCAGGAACACCCCCAUCCAGAGACCACGACUCAUGCUGAGGCAGCCCUCAGUGCUGCAGCCCCUUAGGACCUUGCGCGGUCACUGUCCUCUUCCAAGGUCUGAGCAGCAGCUUAGAGUGCAGCCUGGGCCAGCAGAGCUGGAGGGACUCAUGGGUACCUGGUGUCUGCCACGUACCUGGCUGCUGAUAGACAUUCAGAGGCCAAGAGGACGUACACACAGAGCUCGGAAAAUGCCCCAGCUAAGGACACCCAGGUAGGCGUCUUUUUGCAGGUGUAAACAGGUGGUGUCCAUGUGGGCUCUUCGGCAGAGACCAUGAGGCAGACGGGGUCACUGGUGUGGCCUUUGGACACAGGGUGACCUGGGCCUCUCAGAGGAUGCAGUUGCUUGAAGUCCCAGGAAUGAAUGUUUGAUUCUCAGCUUUAAACUUGCCGAGGAGAUGUGGGCAGUGGGCAGCACUCUCACCCUCCCUGGACCCCUACGCCAGCGGGUGCUCGUCACUGUCACCAUCUGGCACGGAGGCGUGGGCCCUGCCCUCUCUCAUCCAGACAUCUCCGCCUCCUCACAGACUUCUGUCAGCAUCCGCCCAGGACCCUGGUGCCUCCUGGCACUGCUCUGGGCGCUGGCUCCUGGGCUUCACGACCACCGCGGUUGCCAGGAGCCCUGGCCAGGCGUUGUGUCCACUCUAUCUUAUGAUUCAGGGUGGUGACAGGAAGAUUCUGGAGGUAGCUGGCACUUCCGGGUUUCCUGAGGGGUGUCACACCUCAGACACUGGACAACUUCCUGCACUAGCAGCCAUGGAUCCUCGGGUCACCUGGCACUGGAAAGGGUGGUCACUCAGCUUCCUGUUGCUGUGUCCAAGUGCGAGGAUGCUCCGCGGUUGGUCCUCCUUCUCCUGUUAAUGGACAUGGGGCCCAGGUUGGGCUGUCACUAAUAAAGCUGCUGGAAAAUCCA